CCUCCGCAACGCGAGCAAUCGCGACGGGGGGACCCCAAGUGCUACUCUUAACGGGGUAGCUUUUCUAAAGUGUAAAAAGCUUCAGGAAUAAGGGCUGGGCAAGACCGGUGCCAGCCGCCGCGGUAACACCGGCAGCUCAAGUGGUGGCCGCUUUUAUUGGGCCUAAAGCGUUCGUAGCCGGCCUGAUAAGUCUCUGGUGAAAUCCCGCAGCUUAACUGUGGGAAUUGCUGGAGAUACUAUCAGGCUUGAGGCCGGGAGAGGCCGGAGGAACUCCCAGGGUAGGGGUGAAAUCCUAUACUCCUGGGAGGACCACCUGUGGCGAAGGCGUCCAGCUGGAACGGACCUGACGGUGAG
rnacentral:rRNA from 1 species